rnacentral:rRNA from 1 species
GACGAACGCUGGCGGCGUGCUUAACACAUGCAAGUCGAGCGGUAAGGCCCUUUCGGGGGUACACGAGCGGCGAACGGGUGAGUAACACGUGGGUGACCUGCCCUUAGCUCUGGGAUAAGCCUGGGAAACUGGGUCUAAUACCGGAUAUGACUCCAUAACGCAUGUUGUGGGGUGGAAAGCCUUGUGCGGCUAGGGAUGGGCCCGCGGCCUAUCAGCUUGUUGGUGGGGUGAUGGCCACCAAGGCGACGACGGGUAGCCGGCCUGAGAGGGCGACCGGCCACACUGGGACUGAGACACGGCCCAGACUCCUACGGGAGGCAGCAGUGGGGAAUCUUGCGCAAUGGGCGAAAGCCUGACGCAGCGACGCCGCGU